rnacentral:rRNA from 1 species
UACGGGGGGAGCAAACGUUGUUCGGAAUCACUGGGCGUAAAGGGCGUGUAGGCGGUUCGGUAAGUGGAAUGUGAAAUCCCCCGGCUUACCCGGGGAACUGCAUCCCAUACUGCUGGACUUGAGUGCGGGAGAGGAUGGAGGAAUUCCUGGUGUAGCGGUGAAAUGCGUAGAUAUCAGGAGGAACACCGACGGCGAAGGCAGCACUCUGGGCCGGUACUGACGCUGAGGAGCGAAAGCAUGGGGAGCGAACAGG